UACGGGGGGAGCAAGCGUUGUUCGGAUUUACUGGGCGUAAAGGGCGCGUAGGCGGCGCAACAAGUCACUUGUGAAAUCUCCGGGCUUAACUCGGAACGGUCAAGUGAUACUGUUGUGCUAGAGUGCGGAAGGGGCAACUGGAAUUCUCGGUGUAGCGGUGAAAUGCGUAGAGAUGUGGAGGAACACCGAUGGCGAAGGCAGCCCCCUGGGCUGAGAUUGACGCUCAGGCACGAAAGCGUGGGGAGCAAACAGG
rnacentral:rRNA from 1 species